CGGGAACCCCGAACAUCCCCUUUCUCUACUCUUUCCCUUUGGAGUCUAUAGAGGGAGAAGCAGAGCCUAAGGCUUCAUCAGUUUGAAUACUGGCUGGGGCUGGGCAAGUUAGUGGCUCAAAGUGUUGAAUCUGUCCCUAAAGCAGGGACAGAAAUGGAGGCUCAGGAGGUAGAGGUGGCAGUGGGCGUGCAGGAGAAGCUGUAGGUCAGGAGGUAGAGGUGGCAGUGGGCGUGCAGGAGAACUGUAGGUCAGAGUGGAGAGGUGGCAGUGGGCGUGCAGGAGAAGCUGUAGGUCAGGGGGUAGAGGUGGCAGUGGGCGUGCAGGAGAAGCUGUAGGUCAGGGGGUAGAGGUGGCAGUGGGCGUGCAGGAGAAGCUGUAGGUCAGGAGGUAGAGGUGGCAGUGGGCGUGCAGGAGAAGGUGUAGGUCGGGGGGUAGAGGUGGCAGUGGGCGUGCAGGAGAAGGUGUAGGUCAGGAGGCAGAGGUGGCAGUGGGCGUGCAGGAGAAGCUGUAGGUCGGGAGGUAGAGGUGGCAGUGGGCGUGCAGGAG
rnacentral:lncRNA from 1 species